rnacentral:lncRNA from 1 species
GACUGUUUCUGACGCUUUAUGCAUUAUAAAUUCCUGAAUCUGAGGCUGAAUUUCUCGGCUGAGACGGAUGAAGAUUUGUAUGAUGCACGUGACGUCACACUACGUUGUGAUGUUUUUCUGGACUGCUGUGUGUGUGAGAACACAGGAUCCUCCAGCAUUAAACUCCAGCAGCGUUGAGGACAUCAACACUAAUGCAACACUUCUGGUUUAUAUUGGAGACAACCCGCAUGCUGUAUGUGAUAACAUUACAGAUAUACAGUAAAUGCAGAUCUCGGAGAAGAUGACAUCUUUAACUCCAGUACGGUAAACGACACCAUCCCAAUGCCAUCGAGUGCAGUUACUGAAUCAGUCCUCACUACAAUCUCAACCCCAACCGUUUUCAUUCCAACAACUCCAGCCACACCAAAUCAUCAAUCUCCAAACUCACCUGAAGACACGAAGUUCACGACCAAAACACCAACACAGAGUCCCAUGAUAGUGGGUAAAAU